rnacentral:lncRNA from 1 species
CCAAAUCCGAGCCUCGGGUUGGCUAGGAAAUGCUCUGCGAACCGGUACACGAGCCCGUACCGGUACAGCCAUCAAUCCCGUACCGGUACAGCAAGCGAACCCGUACCGAUACACAGCCUGCUUAAGGCUACCCGAGAGCUGACCAAAAAUCCAACUUUUUGGAUUUUGGUGCACAGCUUUAAACCACGAUUCUCGGGACUCUAACCAUAGGUCGGGACACUAUCAACGACCUCCCACAAAAUGUGGAAAAGCUCGGAACACAAACGAGACACUCGACCUCAUUAUUUGCAAAGGACCAGUGUGUUACACCCCCGCUGGGUAGUUAGUGGAGAGCAAGUCCAACUAGGACACAGCGACACCAACGCAACAGCACUAGGCCCGACUCCGGAGUGGCACUCGUGGGCGCUACCCAACCGAGUAUGCAAGCGUAUCUCUGUCGAGCUCAAUCAGGCUCUCGCAGGCUAUAGUCAAGUACACUGGGUUCAACUGGUCUACCAACCAAAAGUCAUGCGCCCUCAGCGCAAUCUGAUGCCAAAACGGCAAACCGGGUCCACCGUCAGUCCCAACGGCACCCAACAAUCCGGAACAGCCUGAAGCUACUGAAAAAAAAGGCUCGGCAUCCCAGCACGAGCUUAACAGCUGACUACACUACCUGGGGUAUCCACCACACUGAUACUGCGGCGAUACAAAAAUAUAACGGCUCCUAGAGCUAAAUCUGGUAGUGUAAGCAUAAUGACAGGUUAUUUGCGGAUUUUCUCCUAAGUCAAAUCUGAGUCCAACAUGUAUAAUUUAUCUAUAAUUAAAAUCAUGCUCUAAACUCAUUCAUAAUUUAUCCAUAAUUAGAAUCAUGCUCUAAACUCAUUCUAAUCAACAAAACAUGAAAUGGUCAUGAAUUAGAGCUAUAAUACAAGUACGUG